GACGAACGCUGGCGGCGCGCUUAACACAUGCAAGUCGAGCGAGAACCAGGGCUUCGGCCCUGGGGACAGCGGCGAACGGGUGAGUAACACGUGGGUAAUCCACCCUCGGCACCGGAAUAGCCCGGGGAAACCCGGAUUAAUGCCGGAUGGCCCGCCGGCCCCGCGGGGCUGGCGGAAAAGGUAGCUUCGGCCUCCGGCCGAGGACGAGCCCGCGACGGAUUAGCUUGUUGGUGGGGUAACGGCCUACCAAGGCUGCGAUCCGUUGCUGGGCUGAGAGGACGAUCGACCAAAAUGGGGCUGAGACACGGCCCAGACUCCGACGGGAGGCAGCAGUGGGGGAUCUUGCGCAAUGGGCGGAGGCCUGACGCAGCGACGCCGCGUGAGGGAAGAAGGCCUUCGGGUUGUAAACCUCUUUCAGGAGGGACGAAGCCACUCGGGUUAAUAGCCCAGAGGGUGACGGUACCUCCAGAAGAAGCCCCGGCUAACUACGUGCCAGCCGCCGCAGUAAGAC
rnacentral:rRNA from 1 species